GUCAAAUGCAGAUAUGUAAUUUCUAAGAAAGCAGGAGAUAGCUCUUUGUGGGUUUAGGGUCUUGUCUGUUAGUGCAGGCACAGUGCCUGGUUGAAUCUUCUUGAGGGCAAGUAGCAUCAUACCAAGACCUCUGAUCCCAGCUGCAGACCUUGGCCAUUGACUGGCUUUCACCACGGCCUGAGGCCAACCAGUCUCCUCUGUCUCAGGCACAGGCUGUUGGAGCCUUAUAGUGGCCUGCCUACUGAAGGCACUGGGAACUGGAUGAGGGCAGCCAGCCCCUUCACUGAAGGGCAACGCAAACUUGGCUCCUAGAGAUGGGGCAGUGGUUGGAGAUAGGGUAGCUGUUGGGGAGGUCCUUAUGCCAUUUAAAAGAGCACAGACCAUCAGACUGCACUUCUCUGCCCUACAGGAAAUUUGUAUCAGCUACUUGGACUGCUGUCAGCGGGAGCGCAGCCGCCACAGCCGCCACAAGAUCCUCAGGGAGAACUAUCUAUUUGUCUGUUCCUGUCCCAAAUGCCUGGCAGAGGCUGAUGAACCCAAUGUGACCUCAGAAGAGGAAGAGGAAG
rnacentral:lncRNA from 10 species